rfam:Spinacia oleracea cultivar SynViroflay scaffold35482.con0001.1, whole genome shotgun sequence.
UCUCGGUGAUGAUACAAAACAGAUGACGAGUCCGAUCCAUUCAUAAAAAUCAUGACGACAAAACGAGGCAUUUGUCUGAGAGAA